rnacentral:rRNA from 1 species
GCAUAUCAAUAAGCGGAGGAAAAGAAACCAACAGGGAUUGCCUCAGUAACGGCGAGUGAAGCGGCAACAGCUCAAAUUUGAAAUCUGGCCUCUUCGGGGUCCGAGUUGUAAUUUGUAGAGGAUGUUUCGGGUACCGCCUCGGUUUAAAUUUCUUGGAACAGAAUGUCAGAGAGGGUGAGAAUCCCGUCUUGGACCGGCGGUAGGGCCCAUGUGAAACUCCUUCGACGAGUCGAGUUGUUUGGGAAUGCAGCUCAAAAUGGGUGGUAAAUUUCAUCUAAAGCUAAAUAUUGGCCAGAGACCGAUAGCGCACAAGUAGAGUGAUCGAAAGAUGAAAAGAACUUUGAAAAGAGAGUUAAACAGUAUGUGAAAUUGUUGAAAGGGAAGCGCUUACAACCAGACUUGAGCGCGGCGGUUCCCCCUUCCUUUUGGUUGGGUUACUCCGCCGUGUCCAGGCCAACAUCGGUUCUGGGGGUCGGUUAAAGGCCUGGGGAAUGUAUCUACUCCUUCGGGGGUAGACUUAUAGCCCCGGGUGUCAUGCGACCACCCGGGACCGAGGAACGCGCUUCGGCUCGGAUGUUGGCGUAAUGGUUGUCAGCGACCCGUCUUGAAACACGGACCAAGGAGUCUAACAUCUAUGCGAGUGUUUGGGUGUCAAACCCGGAACGCGAAAUGAAAGUGAACGGAGGUAGGAAGCCUUUAGGCUGCACUAUCGACCGAUCCUGAUGUCUUCGGAUGGAUUUGAGUAAGAGCAUAGCUGUUGGGACCCGAAAGAUGGUGAACUAUGCCUGAAUAGGGUGAAGCCAGAGGAAACUCUGGUGGAGGCUCGCAGCGGUUCUGACGUGCAAAUCGAUCGUCAAAUUUGGGUAUAGGGGCGAAAGACUAAUCGAACCAUCUGGUAGCUGGUUCCUGCCGAAGU